rnacentral:rRNA from 1 species
UACGUAGGUGGCAAGCGUUUGUCCGGAUUUACUGGGCGUAAAGAGCGCGCAGGCGGUUGAUUAAGUCGAAUGUGAAAGCCCCCGGCUCAACUGGGGAGGGUCAUUCGAUACUGAUCAACUUGAAGGCAGGAGAGGGAAGUGGAAUUCCGGGUGUAGUGGUGAAAUGCGUAGAUAUCCGGAGGAACACCAGUGGCGAAGGCGACUUCCUGGCCUGUUCUUGACGCUGAGGCGCGAAAGCGUGGGGAGCAAACAGG